CAGGUGUGAGCCACUGCACCCGGCCUCAUUAACUUUGAAAAUGAUUAUUUCCUUAGGUCUAUUAUUUUGUAGUGACAUUUUCUAGAAUUUUGUAAUAAUUUUGGGAUAGUUUAUAUAACUAUUUAAAAAUUUACUUUUAGAUUUAGUAACAUAUUCCUGGAUUUCUUUGUCAGUUUCUGAUAUACUAUAGUUGUGGUUAGUAUGCCUAUUUUGGGGGAAAUUUAAGAAUGAUGAACUGUAACAUCUGUACAGAUGAACUUAUUUAUUAUUUAUUUAUUUAUUUAUUUACAAACAAACAAAACUUUAAUGAAACAUAUACUUGGUCUUGAUAUUUAGGACUUAUAGACACUACAGGUUAUACCCAGACCACAAAAAAUUUAGUUGGUAAUUCAUAGAACAUUUAUUGUGUCUAUUCUCUGCAUAGCACUGUAUUGAGAUAUAUGGUAAAAUACAAAUUAAAGAGAAUACAAUUGGCCCUCUGUAUCCAUGGGUUCCAUAUCUGUAGAAUCAACUAACGGCAGAUUGAAAAUAUUUGAAAAAAGCCAUAAAAAUAACAAUAAAAUAAUUCAAAUAAAAGACAAUACAGUAUAACUCUUUAUAUAGCAUUUAUAUUGCAUUAGGUAUUAUAAGUAAUCUAGAGAUAGUUUAAAGUAUACUGGAGGAUGUGCAUAAAUUAUAUGCAAAUACUAUACCAUUUUAUAUGAGACUUGAGCAUCUGCAGAUUUUGAUAUCUAUACAGGGGUCCUAGAACAAAUACCUGCAGCUACCAAAAGGCAACUAUAUACCAUCUCUGAAUUUGUGAAAGUAAUAAUGCAUUUAUGCAUUCACAAAAUAGUUUCAUGAACCCAUAAAAACCAAAUAAGGUAAAAAGUAUGCAUAUUAGCCUGUAAUCCCAGCUACUCGNNNNN
rnacentral:lncRNA from 1 species